GAUGAACGCUGGCGGCGUGCCUAAUACAUGCAAGUCGAGCGAACAGACGAGGAGCUUGCUCCUCUGACGUUAGCGGCGGACGGGUGAGUAACACGUGGAUAACCUACCUAUAAGACUGGGAUAACUUCGGGAAACCGGAUCUAAUACCGGAUAAUAUAUUGAACCGCAUGGUUCAAUAGUGAAAGACGGUUUUGCUGUCACUUAUAGAUUGAUCCGCGCCGCAUUAGCUAGUUGGUAAGGUAACGGCUUACCAAGGCAACGAUGCGUAGCCGACCUGAGAGGGCGAUCGGCCACACUGGAACUGAGACACGGUCCAGACUCCUACGGGAGGCAGCAGUAGGGAAUCUUCCGCAAAGGGCGAAAGCCUGACGGAGCAACGCCGCGUGAGUGAUGAAGGUCUUCGGAUCGUAAACCUCUGUUAUUAGGGAAGAACAAAUGUGUAAGUAACUAUGCACGUCUUGACGGUACCUAAUCAGAAAGCCACGGCUAACUACGUG
rnacentral:rRNA from 1 species